UAUGUUUUUCAAAUAUAUAUAGUAUUCUGACUCAAGCUUAGAACAAGUAAAUCCCUAUGCAGGAAAAUAAAAGGAUAAAGCCAGAGUGACGGAAAUCCUCAAUUAAAUCACCAAGAAAAAUAUUCUAGCUAAACCUGCAAAUAUUCUCAACUAAUUACACAAGAAAUUAAAUACUCGGGUAUUUCACCAUGAAAGAAUUUAGGUGCUACCGCUUCAAGAUAUUCCCAGGCAAUUUUCGGACGUAAGUUACCAAGAAAGUUUCCUAAAUAAAUCAUAAGUAAAUCCUUGUUAAAGAAUUCCCAAGUAAUACUGCAAUGAAUAAUACCCAUAUAAUUUCCCAGGUAAUUUCCCAGGUAUAUAAGUUCCCACAUAAAUCCCCAUGAAAAUAUUUACAUGUGAAACCCAAACAAUAAAUCCCCAGGUAUUUCCCUGGAUAAAUAAAUUCCCUGGUAAUUCCUCAAAAAAUAUUUCCCAUGUAAAACCGUAAGAAAUAAUCCCCAGAACAUUGCCCAUCAAAACUAAAUCCCCAGGUAUAUCCCCAUAAGAUAAUCCGCCGUAAAAUUCACAUGACAGUUACAUGGGGAUGUUUCUGCCAGCUCACAAAUGAAAAAGAGAAUUUUUUUUGUGUUCAUUUACCUGCGGAUAGAAGACUUGCCGAUUAUUUUUCCCAUAUAAUUCCCUAGGUAAUAUGUUUGCGCCUAAUGGUGCCAACAUUACCUGCAGAUUUAUCAGGGAAAAUUAAAUUUAUAGGUAUAAUAUUCUACAUUUUAAGAGUUUCAAAUUUCCGAAAGAAA
rnacentral:lncRNA from 1 species